rnacentral:piRNA from 1 species
GGAUAGAGGUAUAGGAAAAUGUGC